CUUGAUAAGCCAUAAGAGGUCCAGCCUGCCCAGUGAUAAAUUUAACGGCCGCGGUACCCUGACCGUGCGAAGGUAGCAUAAUCACUUGUUCUUUAAAUAGGGACUAGUAUCAACGGCAUCACGAGGGUUACACUGUCUCCUUUCUUCAAUCAGUGAAACUGAUCUCCCCGUGAAGAAGCGGGGAUAUAAUUAUAAGACGAGAAGACCCCAUGGAGCUUUAAAUUUUACUGCAACUUAGUCAGAUAAUCCAUUAUAAUUUACAAAGCCCUGCAUGUUAAUUUUAGGUUGGGGUGACCGCGGAGUAAAAACUAACCUCCACGACGAAAAGAACUAAAUCUUUAUCCAAGAGCUACAACUCUAAGAAUUAGAAUACUAACGACAAUGAUCCGACAAUCGAUCAACGGACCA
rnacentral:rRNA from 1 species